CUGCUGGGAAAAUCCUAGAAUUCAGCUUAAUCUUUCUGUCAAAUAUUUAAGCUUUACCUAUACAAUUCUGAGGCAAAAGGGAAUUAAGAUGUCAUAUUUUCCAAAGCCUGCUCUUCAACAUUUCCUUCCUGUCUUCUUUUGAAAGUAAUUUUAGAGUUUCUCCGUGUAGACCCUACUCUCCCACUUCUUCCCCUACCUGACAGACCAAUUAAACCUUUUAAUGUGUUUUGACUCAGGAGCCAAGGUUGCUAAGAGACCACCUCAGCAGAAUGCACUUUGGUCUAGCCUCCGCGGACCCAGAAAAGACCAAGGACCUGUCACCUCUUACCACUUGGGAUUUGUUCAGACAGCAGGAGUAUUCUGA
rnacentral:lncRNA from 1 species